GAGUGAUUCACGUAUAAUAGCGCGCUGAAGUUCGACUACAUUUUUUUUAUACACCCUGUACAAGAUAAAGAUAAAUUUCCCCGCCAUAUUGGACUUGUUGUUUUGAUUUCUCGCUCCCCCCAGCCAUCGAAAAUCAUUAAUUGCACCACAGUGGCCCAAGGUGUCGUUUGCGAGAUUGGGCCGCCUGUGAUCUUAGUAUAUGUUUGGAAUGCAAGUUCAAUCACAGGGGAAGAAGGAGGGGGGAAGGGCUAUGAAAAUUUAUUAUAUUUGACUGCCCCCUUAACUUUCUACAUAAAGCCUGCAAAGCAUAUACAUCGAUAAUGAACCGCAAAACUCAAAGUUAUAAACAGUUUGAACUUCGUGGCCCAGUGCAUUUUUUACGGAUUGAGUGGCGGGGCAAAACUGCCGAAGGGCCCAUUUUCCUUGUCCUCCCCCCAGGAUAGUAUGCGAUCGUCGAAUGUGUGAGCCGAUUACCGCAUGCCCCCCAGAAAAUUUUUAAAAUUUGGGUCUCUGAAAUGGCAUUUCCUACAUUCUGAGAACACAUUUUAAAAAAUCUCAGGUUCUCAAACGUUUGCUCACCAACAAAUCUUGUUCUUGAAACCUCCGUUAAAUGUUAAACUCAUUUACUCAAUACAGUUCCUAUGUCUCUAUAGCUUUGGGACAAUAGGCCAUUUUUUUCUUCAGUGGUGGGGCAGAGGAAGAGGCCCAGUUGGGCAAAUGCCCCACCAGUCCAUAGUAUUAAAAAAUGCAUUGUUGUGACCAUGUGACAUAAAACAGGCAAGUUUACUUCAGCUUUUUUCGGUGUAAUUUUGAAUACGCGUGUAAGUGAGGACUAUAAUUCGACAGUUCUCAAAAGAGCAAUUGCAUUUCUGUGAAGAAUUUAAAAUAUUGUUUAUGUCUACUAUUUAUUUUGACGCGAGAUUGCGUUUGCAUUUAAGGUCACAGGACACCCUUUUUGUCGUUUUGCGGAAAAUCGCUACUGCGCGCUCAAUAUCAGUUCGAUUUUCAUCAAAUUUUUACCAGAUGUUCUCCAGUGCAUAUAAAAUAUGGCAAAGUUGUAAAAUUAACAAACAAUAAAAUAAUGUAAGAAUUAUUCAGGAAAAUCUUAAAUCGCGGUACUGUUACGCUUAUGAGUUGUGCUCCUUCUGGUUUUAAGUUAUAUUUAUGAAAAUAUCAUUUUUUAUAGUAAAAUAUAAUAGUUGUUCUAAAAAAUUGUGUUCGGAAAUUUUUGUUUAUUUCGUCAUUCCGCUGAUAUGGCGAUUUCUUUGACGACUGCAAUAUAUUUCUGAAUUGUUUGAGUGAAUUGCUCUUUAUUUUUAAAAUAUCCAAAAUUUAAAAAAAGCCGAACAACAUUUUGAAACUGACGUAUUUAACUAUGUCCUGUGAAAAUUUGACAAAAAUUGGUUAAAACCCGCAGGAGCACAACUCGUUUGAAAAUCAGUAAUUACCGUAAAAUUUUUCGUGAGAAAAUUGAAUUUGAAUAUUACUUUUUCAAUGUUUUUCGUAUUGCAGCGAAAUGUAUUUUAUUGAAUAACUCUGCGAGUUUUCACAUUUUUCGUUCAAACUUGGUCAGAUAGUAGAACUAGUCUAAUGCUGUCACGAAAACCAUUAAAAAAUUUUAGGCAAAAUUAACACUCAAAGGUGUUCUGUAUGGUUAAAAAGACGAAACCAGACGAAACGGAGUGAACGAGGUCGAGGCCUUAAGUAUAUUAAACAAGUGCUUUUCAAUCCGGUCUUGCAGAUCGUAAAUAAGAUACCCCCAGCACAGCAUGCGCAAUUGUCAAAUAUACAAAUAAUGAAUGCACAGCAUACGAGUGCUGUGUCUAUAUGGUGAAAAUAUUUUCAUGAAGUGACAGCCGAGUGAAAUCACUGCACGGUGGGGAAAAAAGACAGCAAAUGGGUCCAAGUUGUUAUAACUUGCUGUUUUUAGUUUGGAAUAUCACGAAACUUCCUCACAGGAUAGAACUUGCCAUUCCUAAAAAUCGUUUCUGUUUUUCGAUUUUGUAAAAUUUUGGCGGGAAAAUGACGUGUCAACUUUGGCGCCAUAAAAUUAAACACGAGCUAAGAACAUGCUAGUAACGGUUUUGAAGAGAUUGUCCUAUAAGGAUCUCAAAACUGUAAAAACACUGAAAAUACGCCAAAGCAGUGCAAAGAUAUGGUGCUUAAAAGUCUGAAAAUCCGCCAUUUUGUUACUAAAAUAGAUUUUUUUCGAACUUUGGAUCGCCAUAUCUUCCCACUUCCUUGUUGUAUUUUCAAUGUUUUU